GCCUAGCCGUAAAACAUAUCUCACCCCACAAAUCGCCAGGGAAUUACGAGCCCAAGCUUAAAACCCAAAGGACUUGACGGUGUCCCACCCACCUAGAGGAGCCUGUUCUAUAAUCGAUUAUCCCCGAUAAACCUCACCACUUCUAGUUAUUCAGCCUGUAUACCUCCGUCGUAAGCUUACCAUGUGAACGAAUUUAGUGAGUCUAAGGGUCUUCCCCACCAAUACGUCAGGUCAAGGUGCAGCUAACGAACUGGGAAGAAAUGGGCUACAAUUUCUACCAUAGAACAAACGAAAGGCUACAUGAAAUAUAGUCACUGAAGGCGGAUUUAGCAGUAAAAAGAAAAUAGAGAGUUCUUUUUAACAAGGCGCUGGGACGCGUACACACCGCCCGUCACCCUCUUCGAAUGCCAAACUGCUGUAAAUAACCACAAAUAGCACCCUAGAAGAGGUAAGUCGUAACACGGUAAGCGUACUGGAAAGUGCGCUUGGAUCAA
rnacentral:rRNA from 1 species